CGCUAAUACCGCAUACGUCCUGAGGGAGAAAGCGGGGGACCGUAAGGCCUCGCGCGAUUGGAGCGGCCGAUGUCGGAUUAGCUAGUUGGUAGGGUAAAGGCCUACCAAGGCGACGAUCCGUAGCGGGUCUGAGAGGAUGAUCCGCCACACUGGGACUGAGACACGGCCCAGACUCCUACGGGAGGCAGCAGUGGGGAAUUUUGGACAAUGGGCGAAAGCCUGAUCCAGCCAUGCCGCGUGAGUGAAGAAGGCCUUCGGGUUGUAAAGCUCUUUCAGUUUUUAAAGGAAACUUCCGGGUGAAUACCCCGGGAGGAUGACGGUACCAUCAGAAGAAGCACCGGCUAACUACGUGCCAGCAGCCGCGGUAAUACGUAGGGUGCGAGCGUUAAUCGGAAUUACUGGGCGUAAAGCGUGCGCAGG
rnacentral:rRNA from 1 species